rnacentral:rRNA from 1 species
GUUAAGCGACUAAGCGUACACGGUGGAUGCCCUGGCAGUCAGAGGCGAUGAAGGACGUGCUAAUCUGCGAUAAGCGUCGGUAAGGUGAUAUGAACCGUUAUAACCGGCGAUUUCCGAAUGGGGAAACCCAGUGUGUUUCGACACACUAUCAUUAACUGAAUCCAUAGGUUAAUGAGGCGAACCGGGGGAACUGAAACAUCUAAGUACCCCGAGGAAAAGAAAUCAACCGAGAUUCCCCCAGUAGCGGCGAGCGAACGGGGAGGAGCCCAGAGCCUGAAUCAGUGUGUGUGUUAGUGGAAGCGUCUGGAAAGGCGCGCGAUACAGGGUGACAGCCCCGUACACAAAAAUGCACAUACUGUGAGCUCGAUGAGUAGGGCGGGACACGUGGUAUCCUGUCUGAAUAUGGGGGGACCAUCCUCCAAGGCUAAAUACUCCUGACUGACCGAUAGUGAACCAGUACCGUGAGGGAAAGGCGAAAAGAACCCCGGCGAGGGGAGUGAAAAAGAACCUGAAACCGUGUACGUACAAGCAGUGGGAGCCUCUUU